UACGUAGGGUGCAAGCGUUGUCCGGAAUUACUGGGCGUAAAGAGUUCGUAGGCGGUUUGUCGCGUCGUUUGUGAAAACCAGCAGCUCAACUGCUGGCUUGCAGGCGAUACGGGCAGACUUGAGUACUGCAGGGGAGACUGGAAUUCCUGGUGUAGCGGUGAAAUGCGCAGAUAUCAGGAGGAACACCGGUGGCGAAGGCGGGUCUCUGGGCCGGUACCGACGCUGAGGAGCGAAAGCGUGGGGAGCGAACAGG
rnacentral:rRNA from 1 species